AAUAAAAGAGGGAAUGAUCGUCUCCCAAAGUUGAAAUAAACUUGAACCGCUUAAAGCUGAUGACUUCUACCUGUUU
rnacentral:ncRNA from 2 species